rnacentral:rRNA from 1 species
AGUGCCUACGGGAGGCAGCAGUAGGGAAUCUUCCACAAUGGGCGAAAGCCUGAUGGAGCAACGCCGCGUGGGUGAAGAAGGUCUUCGUAUCGUAAAACCCUGUUGUUAGAGAAGAAAGUGCGUGAGAGUAACUGUUCACGUUUCGACGGUAUCUAACCAGAAAGCCACGGCUAACUACGCGCCAGCAGCCGCGGUAAUACGUAGGGGGCAAGCGUUAUCCGGAUUUAUUGGGCGUAAAGGGAACGCAGGCGGUCUUUUAA